UACCCGCGGCCCGAGUGGUGCUCAUUAUUAUUGAGCCUAAAGCGUCCGUAGCUGGCCGGGCAAAUCUCCGGGGAAAUCGGGCGGCUCAACCGUCCGAAUUCCGGAGACACUUCCCGGCUUGAGAUCGGGAGAGGGAGAAGGUACUCCCGGGGUAGGGGUAAAAUCCUGUAAUCCGGGGGGGACCACCAGUGGCGAAGGCGUUCUCCUAGAACGAAUCUGACAGUGAGGGACGAAGCCCUAGGGCGCAAACGGG
rnacentral:rRNA from 1 species